rnacentral:rRNA from 1 species
GACGUAGGGCGCGAGCGUUGUCCGGAUUUAUUGGGCGUAAAGAGCUCGUAGGCGGCUUGUCGCGUCGACUGUGAAAACCCGCGGCUCAACUGCGGGCCUGCAGCCGAUACGGGCAGGCUAGAGUUCGGUAGGGGAGACUGGAAUUCCUGGUGUAGCAGUGAAAUGCGUAGAUAUCAGGAGGAAUACCGAUGGCGAAGGCAGGUCUCUGGGCUAUAACUGACGCUCAUGCACGAAAGCGUGGGGAGCAAACAGG